rnacentral:piRNA from 1 species
GUCAGACUAAAGUCUGGUAGGGGCCAU